CGGGUGAGUAACGCGUGAGCAACCUGCCUAUGACAGUGGGAUAGCCUCGGGAAACCGGGAUUAAUACCGCAUAAAAUCGUAGAAACACAUGUUUUAACGGUCAAAGAUUUAUCGGUCAUAGAUGGGCUCGCGUCUGAUUAGCUAGUUGGUGAGAUAACAGCCCACCAAGGCGACGAUCAGUAGCCGGUCUGAGAGGAUGGACGGCCACAUUGGAACUGAGACACGGUCCAA
rnacentral:rRNA from 1 species